rnacentral:rRNA from 1 species
UACGUAGGUGGCAAGCGUUGUCCGGAAUUAUUGGGCGUAAAGAGCUCGUAGGCGGUUUGUCGCGUCUGCUGUGAAAAUCCAGGGCUUAACCCUGGACCUGCAGUGGGUACGGGCAGACUAGAGUGCGGUAGGGGAGAUCGGAAUUCCUGGUGUAGCGGUGAAAUGCGCAGAUAUCAGGAGGAACACCGGUGGCGAAGGCGGAUCUCUGGGCCGUAACUGACGCUGAGGAGCGAAAGCAUGGGGAGCGAACAGGG